UACGUAGGGUGCGAGCGUUUAAUCGGAAUUACUGGGCGUAAAGCGUGCGCAGGCGGUGAUGUAAGACAGAUGUGAAAUCCCCGGGCUCAACCUGGGAACUGCAUUUGUGACUGCAUCGCUGGAGUGCGGCAGAGGGGGAUGGAAUUCCGCGUGUAGCAGUGAAAUGCGUAGAUAUGCGGAGGAACACCGAUGGCGAAGGCAAUCCCCUGGGCCUGCACUGACGCUCAUGCACGAAAGCGUGGGGAGCAAACAGGAUUGAGAUACC
rnacentral:rRNA from 1 species